AGAGUUUGAUCCUGGCUCAGGAUGAACGCUAGCGGCAGGCCUAAUACAUGCAAGUCGAACGGUGAUAUUUAUAUCAUAGUGGCGCACGGGUGCGUAACACGUAUGCAACCUACCUAUUAUUGGGGGAUAGCCUUUGGAAACGGAGAUUAAUACCGCAUAAUACGAUUAACUGGCAUCGGUUGAUUGUUAAAGCAUUUGCGAUAAUAGAUGGGCAUGCGUCCAAUUAGUUAGUUGGUGUGGUAAUGGCUCACCAAGACGAUGAUUGGUAGGGGAUCUGAGAGGAUAAUCCCCCACACUGGCACUGAGAUACGGGCCAGACUCCUACGGGAGGCAGCAGUAGGGAAUAUUGGGCAAUGGGCGGAAGCCUGACCCAGCCAUGCCGCGUGCAGGAAGACGGCGUUAUGCGUUGUAAACUGCUUUUUAUAGGAAGAAGGAUCCCUUGCGAGGGAAGGUGACGGUACUAUAAGAAUAAGCACCGGCUAACUCCGUGCCAGCAGCCGCGGUAAUACGGAGGGUGCAAGCGUUGUCCGGAUUUAUUGGGUUUAAAGGGUGCGUAGGCGGUUUAUUAAGUCAGUGGUGAAAGACGGUCGCUCAACGAUUGCAGUGCCAUUGAUACUGGUAGACUUGAGUGAG
rnacentral:rRNA from 1 species